CCUACGGGAGGCAGCAGUGGGGAAUAUUGCGCAAUGGGCGAAAGCCUGACGCAGCGACGCCGCGGGAGGGAUGAAGGUCGUCGGAUCGUAAAACUCUGUCAGCAGGGAAGAAAGGUCACUGGGCUAAUCAGCAGUGAAUUGACGGUACCUGCAAAGGAAGCACCGGCUAACUCCGUGCCAGCAGCCGCGGUAAUACGGAGGGUGCGAGCGUUAAUCGGAAUUACUGGGCGUAAAGCGCUCGUAGGAGGUAUGUCAAGUCAAGGUUGAAAUCCCUGCGCUCAACGUGGGAACUGCCUUUGAAACUGGCAAACUUGAGUGUGUGAGAGGAUAGUGGAAUUCCAGGUGUAGGAGUGAAAUCCGUAGAUAUCUGGAGGAACAUCAGUGGCGAAGGCGACUAUCUGGCACAUAACUGACGCUGAGGAGCGAAAGCGUGGGUAGCAAACAGGAUUAGAUACCCUUGUAGUC
rnacentral:rRNA from 1 species